rnacentral:rRNA from 1 species
CAGCCGCCGCGGUAAUACCAACCCCGCGAGUGGUCGGGACGUUUAUUGGGCCUAAAGCGUCCGUAGCCGGGUUGGGAAGUCCUCCGGGAAAUCUGGCCGCUUAACGGUCAGAAUGCCGGAGGAUACUCCCAGCCUAGGGAGCGGGAGAGGCCGAGGGUAUUCCCGGAGUAGGGGUGAAAUCCUAUAAUCCCGGGAGGACCACCUGUGGCGAAGGCGCUCGGCUGGAACGCGUCCGACGGUGAGGGACGAAGGCCAGGGGAGCAAACCGGAUUAGAUACCCGGGUAGUCCUGGCGGUAAACGAUGCGGACUUUGUGUCGGACAAGCUAUGAGCUGGUCCGGUGCCGGAGGGAAACCGUUAAGUCCGCCGCCUGGGGAGUACGGCCGCAAGGCUGAAACUUAAAGGAAUUGGCGGG